CCCCAACCGCUUGCUGCUUACCGCUUGUCUGUCGCUGAUGUACGACGCGCUGGUAGGCAACAAGGCGACUAGCAACUUUGUACCUGUAACCUUUUGCACUUGGAAAUUGUGCCUACAUUUCGUAGCGGUCGCAUUGACAGUUACUCGACAGCAACGAACAAUACAAUGCAGUAACAACAACAAUAACGGCAACAAGCGUUGGGCAGAAGAAUUGUUCGAAAUACACUAGUAACACGCUUUGAACACGAGACAACGACAUACAAACAAUCUAAACAUAAAUAUAUUUUAAUGCAGCGGUCGUCAAAUGUUUACCAAAUGCCAGACAUUUGCUGAAAAUUGUUGGAAAUUGCAACGAAUUGUGUUUGAAGUGCAAGACUACUCUAACCUCUGAAUAUACAAUAUGGAAAAAAUCAAACAGUACUGCAUUUUGUUCUUUAUUAACACAUCUCAUACUCAUGAGCAUUGAUAAGUAGAAUGGUGAAGGAGAACGGUUCAUUUAAGCAAAACAACAAUAUUUCUGCAAACAAGUGAGCGGCGUGAGAGCAAUGCACACAGUCAUCACAUAGUAUUCUCAUUGGAAUGUGGAAGAGUGCUGCUGAAGUUGAUAUGUGGGCAGAUGUAAACAAAAGUGCGUGUGCAAAGGUCAAUUGAAAUCUAAAAGUAAGUGUUAAAAGAAUUUACAAAAAGUGCACAUCAGGUCGAAGUUUAUUGAAAAUAAAUAUUGGUUUCAAGUAAAUAAAAGAAAUUGUGAGAUAAAAGCAUCAGAAAUAGUUGUAAGUGCUUAAAAUGUUGUGAUUUGUUGAAUAAUUACACUUAUUGCCGCUGCUGCUGCGGCCAUGCAUUCGGUUCGGUUGUGUUCGUUUUCGUGCAAUUUGCUCGUUUUUUUAAAACGUUAGUACGUUUAUAUAAACAAGUGAGAAAUUAAAAUAAAAUCAUUGAGAAUUUUUAAUCUGGUUACAAACGGGUGAUGUUUUUUGAUUUAGUUCAAUUUUUAAAUGAAUUAGAAAUUGUAGAAAUCAGUGAAAUGCCAAUGCCUUUGUGUUUUUUUGCCUUUGCAUUUGUGUUUUUUGUUUUGAUUCAUGUGUGAUUAGUUGCAAUGGAUGAGUGAAGUUGACUGAAAGGAAAACCAAUUGCAAAUUUAUGCACUGGUGAGACUUUGGUGAGUACACACAAUAUUUUUAACAUAGAAAAUACAGGACCUAAAAUACAUAAGU